CAGUCGCCGCGGUAAUACGAAGGGGGCUAGCGUUGUUCGGAAUUACUGGGCGUAAAGCGCACGUAGGCGGACUUUUAAGUCAGGGGUGAAAUCCCGGGGCUCAACCUCGGAACUGCCUUUGAUACUGGAAGUCUUGAGUGUGGAAGAGGUAAGUGGAAUUGCGAGUGUAGAGGUGAAAUUCGUAGAUAUUCGCAGGAACACCAGUGGCGAAGGCGGCUUACUGGUCCACAACUGACGCUGAGGUGCGAAAGCGUGGGGAGCAAACAGGAUUAGAUACCCCAGUAGUCCCUGUCUCUUAUAA
rnacentral:rRNA from 1 species